rnacentral:lncRNA from 1 species
GUCAUAGUAACACUUGACAUUGUCGCAGGCACAGCGCUUCUCGCCAAAGAUCCAUUUCCCACAGUCGCAGUCAUCAAUGUCCCACAGGGGGUCGCGCGCGCACACUCGAUAGUCGUUGAGCCGGUGUGCGCGUCGGAUGACAGCCGAGCACGACAUGCGGCCAAUCACGGCGGCAUCGGCCAGCGCAUGCGAUACCAGGGUCUGUGCGCACCGCGCAAUAUAGACCGCGGCGUCGGUCGGACUCGUGCGUGUGGCGCUCCAGUGCGCGAGCGUGGGGUGGCGCAUGCGGCUCCGGCACGACAUUGAACCCGCGCGGUGGCGCUCAAUAGCCUUGUCCAAGCGCGGAUACUCGGACGCCAGCCGCCCGCCAUUGUCGGCAUCGCCGUCCCAGUCGCCCGGAUAGUCGCCGUCCCACAUGUCCCAAAGCACCAUCCUGCAUUGGCUCAAGGGCUGUCUGCCUUUGCAGGGCCAACAUUCGUCAACGGCGCACAAGCACACACAUCGGUCAGGUCUCUUGUCGCACGCAGGGCAACGCUCGCCGAGGCGUUCUUUGUAGGCGACUUUGGGUGCCUUGGCCGCAAAGGCCUCGACGAGCGCCGUUGCGUAAUCAUAGGGGCGCAAGACGACGCUGUCGAGCGCGGGGCCGGCCUCGGCCUGUGCAUAGGGAAUGUCUGCGACGGCCUUGGCGACAAUGCGGCGCUUGGCGAGGCGUCUCAUCCUCGGUUUGGCCAGCCAGGCAUCGUCGCCAGUGUCCUUGAGAAACUGCAGACAGCGACCAUAGGCGUGGGGCGUCACGGGCCGCCAAAAGACAGAAGCCACGUCGUGCCAGCGUCUUGCCGCCAGACGGACCGCCGCCAAAAACACGUCCCGUUGGUCUGGAUCCUCGUCAUCGUCGCCGUCGAAUCCCAUCCUCAAAAUGUGGACCAAUAAUUCGUCGGGCAGGUCGUCGAUGGCGGUCAUGGACUCGAUGAAAGGGAAAAAAUCAACGUGUCGUCGCCGUCCCCCUUUUUUUUCCUUCCCUCGCCGCCUUGCUCUCUUCCUGCGCCGCCGCUUUUUUCCAAAGCCAAACUUUUUUAC